AGAGCGAACGCUGGCGGCAGGCUUAACACAUGCAAGUCGAGCGCCCCGCAAGGGGAGCGGCAGACGGGUGAGUAACACGUGGGAACGUACCCUUUGGUUCGGAACAACCCAGGGAAACUUGGGCUAAUACCGGAUAAGUCCGUAAGGAGAAAGAUUUAUCGCCAAAGGAUCGGCCCGCGUCUGAUUAGCUAGUUGGUAGGGUAAUGGCCUACCAAGGCUACGAUCAGUAGCUGGUCUGAGAGGAUGAUCAGCCACAUUGGGACUGAGACACGGCCCAAACUCCUACGGGAGGCAGCAGUGGGAAUAUUGGACAAUGGGCGCAAGCCUGAUCCAGCCAUGCCGCGUGAGUGAUGAAGGCCUUAGGGUGUAAAGCUCUUUAGCGGGAAGAUAAUGACGGUACCGCAAGAAAAGCCCGAUAACUCGUGCCAGCAGCCGC
rnacentral:rRNA from 1 species